GGGCCCGCACAAGCGGUGGAGCAUGUGGUUUAAUUCGAUGCAACGCGAAGAACCUUACCUACUCUUGACAUCCAGAGAACUUUUCAGAGAUGAAUUGGUGCCUUCGGGAACUCUGAGACAGGUGCUGCAUGGCUGUCGUCAGCUCGUGUUGUGAAAUGUUGGGUUAAGUCCCGCAACGAGCGCAACCCCUGUGGUUAGUUACCAGCACGUAAAGGUGGGGACUCUAGCCAGACUGCCUACGCAAGUAGUGAGGAAGGUGGGGACGACGUCAAGUCAUCAUGGCCCUUACGUCCAGGGCUGCACACGUGCUACAAUGGUCGGUACAAUGGGUCGCCACCCAGCGAUGGGGCGCAAAUCCAUAAAAGUGCGUCGUAGUCCGGAUCGGAGUCUGCAACUCGACUCCGUGAAGUCGGAAUCGCUAGUAAUCG
rnacentral:rRNA from 1 species